UGGGGAAUUUUGGACAAUGGACGCAAGUCUGACCCAGCCAUGCCGCGUGCGGGAAGAAGGCCUUCGGGUUGUAAACCGCUUUUGUCAGGGAAGAAACGAGUUUCUCUAAUACAGAGACUUAAUGACGGUACCUGAAGAAUAAGCACCGGCUAACUACGUGCCAGCAGCCGCGGUAAUACGUAGGGUGCAAGCGUUAAUCGGAAUUACUGGGCGUAAAGCGUGCGCAGGCGGUUAUGUAAGACAGAUGUGAAAUCCCCGGGCUCAACCUGGGACCUGCAUUUGUGACUGCAUAGCUAGAGUACGGCAGAGGGGGAUGGAAUUCCGCGUGUAGCAGUGAAAUGCGUAGAUAUGCGGAGGAACACCGAUGGCGAAGGCAAUCCCCUGGACCUGUACUGACGCUCAUGCACGAAAGCGUGGGGAGCAAACA
rnacentral:rRNA from 1 species